rnacentral:rRNA from 1 species
AUUGAACGCUGGCGGCAGGCCUAACACAUGCAAGUCGAACGAGUGGCGGACGGGUGAGUAAUGUCUGGGAAACUGCCCGAUGGAGGGGGAUAACUACUGGAAACGGUAGCUAAUACCGCAUACCAUCGGAUGUGCCCAGAUGGGCUUAGCUAUUAGGUGGGGUAACGGCGCACCUAGACGACGAUCCCUAGCUGGUCUGAGAGGAGGACCAGCCACACUGAAACGGAGACACGGUCCAGACUCCUACGGGAGGCAGCAGUGGGGAAGAUGGAACAAUGGGCGCAAGCCUGAUGCAGCCAUGCCGCUUGGGUGAAGAAGGCCUUCGGGUUGUAGAGUACUUUCAGCGAGGAGGCGUGACUCGCAGAAGAAGCACCGGCUAACUCCGUGCCAGCAGCCGCGGUAAUAC